rnacentral:rRNA from 1 species
AGAGUUUGAUCCUGGCUUAGGAUGAACGCUAGCGGCAGGCUUAACACAUGCAAGUCGAGGGGCAUCGGGAGUAGCAAUACUUGCCGGCGACCGGCGCAAGGGUGCGUAACGCGUGAGCAACAUGCCCGUAUCAGGGGGAUAAUCCAUGGAAACGUGGUCUAAUACCCCAUAGUAAUUAUGUAAGGCAUCUUAUAUAAUUUAAAGCUUUGGUGGAUACGGAUUGGCUCGCGUGACAUUAGCUGGAUGGUAAGGUAACGGCUUACCAUGGCUACGAUGUCUAGGGGUUCUGAGAGGAAGGCCCCCACACUGGAACUGAGACACGGUCCAGACUCCUACGGGAGGCAGCAGUGAGGAAUAUUGGACAAUGGAUGGAAAUCUGAUCCAGCCAUGCCGCGUGCAGGAAGACGGCCCUAUGGGUUGUAAACUGCUUUUGUAUGGGAGCAAUAAGGGCUACGUGUAGUCCGAUGAGAGUACCAUACGAAUAAGCACCGGCUAACUCCGUGCCAGCCGCCGC